GGGUCAGUAGGUUGGUCGUGCCACCGGUACGUACUGGUCUCACUGAUUCCUCCUUCCUGAAGAACCGUAAUGCCAUUAAUUUGGUGUUGCGGGGAAGCAGGACUGUUACUUUGAAAAAAUUAGAGUGUAUAAAGCAAGCUAACGCUUGAAUACAUUAGCAUGGAAUAAUGAAAUAGGACGAUCGAUCCUAUUUUGUUGGUUUCUAGGAUUGACGUA
rnacentral:rRNA from 1 species